UCCAUGCCCUAAGUAUGUCGAUGAUGAUGAGCAGUCGAUGGAGGAUGAGAGAUGGUUGGUUUGGGAUCUGAGUGAUUAAGUGAUGAAGAUCCAUUUUAUGAUGGCCGGCCGGCAAUUCACAUAUCUUGAAGCUACAUAUUGGUAUGCUUUCUUGCUUGAAGGAAUGGAAGCACAAGCAUGCAAUUGGGAUUGAGGCUUCAAUAGUAAGCUUUUCUACAGUUGAAAGGAUGAAUGCUCAAAGCAACACAUAAGCGGAGAAGAAGCUUUUUUACAGUGUGGUUGUCUGCAUGAGCUGAAAACCCUUCUUCACCAAAGCACCCAUUACGCAUAUCUCCAUGGAGGACGCAUUCAUCUCCCCACUGAAGUCCCCCACCUGCAACACGGGGAAGAGGUUCCUUCCUUCAAUGGAGAAAGAAAUUAGAGCAGAAGACAUGGGUAAGUAAAGAUCUACCCACCUUAAAUGUUAGGGUGAACACAAAGCCCUCCGAGGUGAGGGAGAAAUGGGAGCUCUCCAUAUCGAAGCACGAGAGAGACGCGAGCGCAGAGUAAAGAGCCGACGGCUCUCCGCCGUCUCCCAUGAUGCCCUCCACCUUCACGUAGAACCUCCCCUCGCCCACUUGGUAUGCCUUCACCUGCGUUAUCCUGCUCCCUGCUGCAGUAGUAGCAGUCUCCUGUGGCUGCAUCGCUUCCGCUGCCCCCCUGCUAGAAGCCUGAAGCAUUUGCUCUCCAUUGGAUCCCGAUUCGAGUAGGCUUAUCUCCUCCUCCAACUUGUUAGCUUGAGAUUGCAGAUCCUUCACAUGUGCAAUUGCGUCUGCUAUGAUGGAAGCUUUGUCCAUCUGCACGACAGAGAGAUGGAUCGUAUUGUUGACUGCAUCUCAACACAACUGCGCGCGCAGAUCGCGGAGCUGCUGCUUACCUUUGUUAUGUUGGGAACGAGAGAUCGUAGCUCGUAGAGCUGCUCCUUCAUCCGAACCCUUCGCGUCCUCUCCGAGAUCAAGGUCUUGGACCGGUCCUUCCUUGUCUUUGGGAUCACCUCGGGGGAAUCACCAUCACCACCGCGCUGCUCAUCGCAGCGGCCUUCGCUCACCCGAGCAUCAUCGUCUACCUGCAAGUCAUUGUUGCCAGUUCGUUCGUGGCAGGUGUCGAACUCUCCUUCCCUCGAUGAGCUAAUCAGGUCAGCGUUCGUUCCUUCAUGGAUGGUAUCAAGCACUGCUUCCCUCGAUAAGCUCAUCAGAUCAGAGUCCGUGUCGAUCUGCAAGACGUGGUCGGCAGUUCCUUCAUGGCUGGUAUCGAGCACACCUUCCCUCAACAAGCUCAUCAGGUCAGCGUUCGAGAGAUCGCCAUCGAAGAGCAUGAACUCCUCGAGAUCAUGGCCGUAGCUCUGGUGGGAGGUUGAGGCCAUAAGGUGAGGUUGUGGUGUGAGGAAGAAAGGGUGAUCGCCACUCCCCAUGUCUAGGGUUGUGCUUGUUUCUGUGCCUCUAGGGCAUCCACACAGCCCAUUUGGGGAAGCAAGAAGAUGACCCCCUGUUAAUGUGAAGGGAAUCAUUGUGCUGGUUUUAGAUGGCUCAGUGACGUUAGGUCAUUAAUUUAUGUCCAAUGGAAUAAUGAAAUUUUCGUAGUA